AGAUGUUAUUAUGUAUAAUCAUUUGUGUAAAUUAUUACUAUCAUAAGCAUAAAUGCUUUGUCAUAGGUAUAAUUUUAAAUUAUUUAAAUAAAAGAUUAUAACUUGGUAUAUGUUUUGAAAAUAUAUUUUAUAGUCUGUGGCUGUCCUUUUAAUUGAGAUAACAUUAUUUUGGAUAAUUUUUUGUAUUUUGAAAUGAUCUUAUUUAUAGCUUUUUAAUUUACAGAGUAAAAAAAAUCUUUUGCAUAUCUCUAAAUUGCAAAGAUCAUUUAUAAUGUUUUAAAUUACGUAUAUUAUAUAAAAUGUCCAGCUUUUAAUAAAUAAUUAUAAUACAUGUAAAAAAUAAUAAAAUAUGCCACAUAUCUGGGUAGGUGGGCGGUGAAAUAACAAAAAC
rnacentral:lncRNA from 1 species